GCGAGGGCCUGAUGAGAGUACCCGGAGAAAAAGCAUCGGCUAACUCCGUGCCAGCAGCCGCGGUAAUACGGAGGAUGCGAGCGUUAUCCGGAUUUAUUGGGUUUAAAGGGUGCGUAGGCGGGCUGUUAAGUCAGCGGUCAAAUGUCGGGGCUCAACCCCGGCCUGCCGUUGAAACUGGCGGCCUCGAGUGGGCGAGAAGUAUGCGGAAUGCGUGGUGUAGCGGUGAAAUGCAUAGAUAUCACGCAGAACUCCGAUUGCGAAGGCAGCAUACCGGCGCCCGACUGACGCUGAGGCACGAAAGCGUGGGUAUCGAACAGGAUUAGAUACCCUGGUAGUCCACGCAGUAAACGAUGAGUGCUAGCUGUCCGGUUCUACGGGACUGG
rnacentral:rRNA from 1 species